rnacentral:rRNA from 1 species
AGCUUGCUUCUCUGAUGUUAGCGGCGGACGGGUGAGUAACACGUGGAUAACCUACCUAUAAGACUGGGAUAACUUCGGGAAACCGGAGCUAAUACCGGAUAAUAUUUUGAACCGCAUGGUUCAAAAGUGAAAGACGGUCUUGCUGUCACUUAUAGAUGGAUCCGCGCUGCAUUAGCUAGUUGGUAAGGUAACGGCUUACCAAGGCAACGAUGCAUAGCCGACCUGAGAGGGUGAUCGGCCACACUGGAACUGAGACACGGUCCAGACUCCUACGGGAGGCAGCAGUAGGGAAUCUUCCGCAAUGGGCGAAAGCCUGACGGAGCAACGCCGCGUGAGUGAUGAAGGUCUUCGGAUCGUAAAACUCUGUUAUUAGGGAAGAACAUAUGUGUAAGUAACUGUGCACAUCUUGACGGUACCUAAUCAGAAAGCCACGGCUAACUACGUGCCAGCAGCCGCGGUAAUACGUAGGUGGCAAGCGUUAUCCGGAAUUAUUGGGCGUAAAGCGCGCGUAGGCGGUUUUUUAAGUCUGAUGUGAAAGCCCACGGCUCAACCGUGGAGGGUCAUUGGAAACUGGAAAACUUGAGUGCAGAAGAGGAAAGUGGAAUUCCAUGUGUAGCGGUGAAAUGCGCAGAGAUAUGGAGGAACACCAGUGGCGAAGGCGACUU